rnacentral:rRNA from 1 species
UACAGAGGUCCCAAGCGUUACUCGGAAUUACUGGGCGUAAAGCGUGCGUAGGUGGUUCGUUAAGUCUGUCGUGAAAGCCCCGGGCUCAACCUGGGAAUGGCGAUGGAUACUGGCGGGCUAGAGUGCGGUAGAGGAGAGUGGAAUUCCCGGUGUAGCAGUGAAAUGCGUAGAGAUCGGGAGGAACAUCAGUUGCGAAGGCGGCUCUCUGGACCAGCACUGACACUGAGGCACGAAAGCGUGGGGAGCAAACAGG